UAUCACUCGCCUCUUCCAUUUUCAUGGCUUCUUUUCUCAAAAACCUUCUCACACUACACUGUUUCAAUUCCCACAAAUUCAAUUUCGCCGUCAGACUCGUUUCAUCCUUACCCCAAAAUAUCCAAUGCAAAAAUUCUCAAAUCCAAUAAACCAAAAAAACCUCUCAGCACUCUCUUCUCUAAACUAAUGUCAGGUAAACCCAUAAACCAACGACAACUCGAAUUAAGCCCAGAAUUAAGGGUAAGGGGUUUUUCGAAAAAUUCAACAAAAAGAAUAGAAGAAUGA
rnacentral:lncRNA from 1 species